CUCAGUUCCAUUUUGAUCUGCUAUAAGUAGGUGAGACGAAGGCUCAUUGUACAGUAUCUGCAACAACUGGAAUCAUAAUGAAGUGCAUUUUGGCUUCUGUCAUUGCCCUUGGCAUUUUGGUGACAACAUGUAAUGGCGCCUGCGUAAGAUCCCUGCCAGUAUUCGGGGCAGCCCAUAGAGGUUGCCUUUAUGGAAACAAGGUGUAUAAAUUGGGGAGCAGAUUUAGAAAUAAUUGCAGGGACUGCAAUUGUUUGAAUGAUGGCUCAAUGCAAUGUUGUAAUGUAUAUAGAACCCCAGCGAAAUAUGAUAAAGAAAAUUGUGAGGCUAUAUUUAAUAAGCAAACCUGCAUUUACAGUGUUGUGGAAAAGAAAGAUCAUUCAAAGGAAUGUGAGAUUUAUGCUGUGGUAGGCUGAAAUGGCCGUCUCCUUGGGCGAGAGUCUUAUAUUAACAACAUUUAUCUCUAUGUGAUACUUUGUGUGAACAGAAUUCAGAUCAUUGUAUACAAAGAUAAAACAGUUUGUAUGACUCGAAUAAAAUCUAUAAAAAUAAAUUAGAUUUAAAAAAAUAAGUAAAAAUAAAGUUUUUAAAACA